GUGGGGAAUAUUGGACAAUGGGCGAAAGCCUGAUCCAGCCAUGCCGCGUGUGUGAAGAAGGUCUUCGGAUUGUGAAGCACUUUAAGCGAGGAGGAGGCUACCGAGAUUAAUACUCUUGGAUAGUGGACGUUACUCGCAGAAUAAGCACCGGCUAACUCUGUGCCAGCAGCCGCGGUAAUACAGAGGGUGCAAGCGUUAAUCGGAUUUACUGGGCGUAAAGCGCGCGUAGGUGGCCAAUUAAGUCAAAUGUGAAAUCCCCGAGCUUAACUUGGGAAUUGCAUUCGAUACUGGUUGGCUAGAGUAUGGGAGAGGAUGGUAGAAUUCCAGGUGUAGCGGUGAAAUGCGUAGAGAUCUGGAGGAAUACCGAUGGCGAAGGCAGCCAUCUGGCCUAAUACUGACACUGAGGUGCGAAAGCAUGGGGAGCAAACAGGAUUAGAUACCCGAGUAGUCC
rnacentral:rRNA from 1 species